UUCAGGAAGAUUGUCCUGCUGUGGAGACCACAGAUGAAGAUCACACCUGUGUUCAAGAAGAUUGGCCUGCUGUGGAGACCACAGAUGAAGUGCCACAAGAUGACCUCCUUGAACAGUUCGCCGCAAUCGUGU